rnacentral:rRNA from 1 species
AGAGUUUGAUCCUGGCUCAGAACGUACGCUGGCGGCACGCCUUAUACAUGCAAGUCGAACGAAGUAGCAAUACUUAGUGGCAGACGGGUGAGUAACAUGUGGGAAUCUUCCCUUUGGUGAGGAAUAACACGAGGAAACUUGUGCUAAUACCUCAUAAGUCUUUACGGAGAAAGCUUUAUGCGCCAAUGGAUGAGCCCGCACUUGAUUAGUUUGUUGGUGAGGUAAUGGCUCACCAAGACUGUGAUCAAUAGCUGAUCUGAGAGGAUGAUCAGCCACAUUGGGACUGAGACACGGCCCAAACUCCUACGGGAGGCAGCAGUAAGGAAUCUUGCACAAUGGAGGAAACUCUGAUGCAGCGAUGCCGCGUGAGUGAAGAAGGCCCUUGGGUUGUAAAGCUCUUUCGUCGGGGAAGAAAAUGACUGUACCCGAAUAAGAAGGUCCGGCUAACUUCGUGCCAGCAGCCGCGGU